GCCUGCGUAGCUUAGGGGUAGAGCAUUGGUCUCAUAUAAAGUAUGAUCUUGAGUUUCAACUCGAGAGACAUCCAAGUACGACGGUUCGAUUCCGCCCGCGGGCA